AUGCUGGAAAGUUCGUUCAAUGGUGCCCCAUAUGUCAGACCUGCAAAGGCCAAGUCUAGAACACAGGGUUAUGCAUGCCUUUGCCUGUUCCUGUUGCUCCAUGGGAGGAAAUUUCUAUGGACUUCGUCUUGGGCUUGCCAAGAACAAGAUGAGGAAGUGAUGUUGUAUUUGUGGUCGUGGAUAGAUUCUCUAGGAUGGCUACUUUCAUACCAUGCCGCAAGACAACAGAUCCUCAUCAUGUGGCAAACCUAUUCUUUCGAGAAGUGGUCAGACUUCAUGGAGUUCCAAGGUCCAUUGUCUCAGACCAUGAUAGCAAAUUUCUUGCUGCAUUUUGGCUCACUUUGUGGAAGCAAUUCAACACUGAAUUGA
rnacentral:rRNA from 1 species